ACUGGGAAGGACAACGCGAGAGGUCAGAGCCGUGUACUGUGCGUCGUCUCCACCGGAUUUGGGUUUUGGAAGGGACUUAAGUCACAGAAUGGAAUAGGAAGACAGGGUUUAAACACGUCCUGUAUCUGAAUGCCAGUUUUCCAUUCCCUUAAACACAAGAUCUGGGAAAACGUAUCUGAAGCCAGAAAAGUCCUGACCCGAGUUAAAAAAAAUGCUGGCGGUACCUGGGACAGAGCCACGCUGGGCCCAGUGGUCCUGCCGCUGAACCCGAAAGAGACUGCUCUGGGGAGUUUUUUUGUUUCUUACAUCUUGGAAUCCUGGUCAUAAAGGAGCAGGGACUUGGCAGGGACACCACUGCCCACGCCGGUGCCUGGUGAGUGCCCAUCCCGCCAGGCCCUUCCUCGCCAUAAAGCCAUCGUUGACCUUCUGACUUUCUAACCGCAAUGCUCACCAGCACCAGAAACCACGGCACGAAGGUCGGAAGGGCUUGCACACUUUGCUGUUAGCAGCAGCCCGGGACGGGAACAAGAAAGGCAGCUCUGGAAAACCAACUAUGAAACCAGAGAAGAUGCCCCUCGCUGGGCCGGCUCCCACCACUGAAUUUCUGACCAGGCAGUGUGGUCACAGACCAAGGACAUCCCCAAGGGGACCCGAGGCGGUAUAGCGUGUGCUAGGGGACUCCCAGGCAGGACUUCUCCCAGGACCACCUGGGACCACCGUCCCAGGGGCUUAUCACGGCCCCACAGGGUCCCUGUCAAUUAUAGGUGAACAGGUGAGUUUCCAAAUCGCUUCCGGGGCCCAGACCCUCACAACGGCAGGAACCAUGCCCUUCACCCCCAUCCCUGCCUCGGGGGAGAGGUGGGGUGGGAACUGGGUCUUUUGUGCUUUACCAGGUCCCAGUCGAUGCUGCGAAAGAAUGCAUGAGACUUGAUAUCGGAAAAUCCAGUCUGUGGCCGGCAACCGAGCCUCUCUUUGGGGUCCUAGGGGUCAGAGAUCAAAUAAGGACAUGUCAGCAUUGAGCAAAGAAGCCCCAAGUCACGGCGAGAGAAAACCAGCUUUCCUUCCCUCCAGGAUAGAAAGGGCUUCCUCGAAUCAUCUCCAGCCAGUCUUAACCAGCCCGGUGAUGAGCAGACAUUCCCUUCACUAAAAAUUCUACCCCUGA